CCUACGGGCGGCAGCAGUGGGGAAUAUUGGACAAUGGGCGAAAGCCUGAUCCAGCCAUGCCGCGUGUGUGAAGAAGGCCUUCGGGUUGUAAAGCACUUUCAGUGGGGAAGAAAGCCUUGGGGCUAAUACCCUCGAGGAAGGACAUCACCCACAGAAGAAGCACCGGCUAACUCCGUGCCAGCAGCCGCGGUAAUACGGAGGGUGCGAGCGUUAAUCGGAAUUACUGGGCGUAAAGCGCGCGUAGGCGGUCUGAUAAGCCGGUUGUGAAAGCCCCGGGCUCAACCUGGGAACGGCAUCCGGAACGGUCAGGCUAGAGUGCAGGAGAGGAAGGUAGAAUUCCCGGGGUAGCGGUGAAAUGCGUAGAGAUCGGGAGGAAUACCAGUGGCGAAGGCGGCCUUCUGGACUGACACUGACGCUGAGGUGCGAAAGCGUGGGUAGCAAACAGGAUUAGAUACCCUGUAGUC
rnacentral:rRNA from 1 species